rnacentral:rRNA from 1 species
CCCUUAGAUGUCCGGGGCCGCACGCGCGCUACACUGAAGGAAUCAGCGUGGCUUUCUCCCUGACCCGAAAGGGUUGGGAAACCCGUUGAAUCUCCUUCGUGAUAGGGAUUGGGGCUUGAAAUUGUUCCCCAUGAACGAGGAAUUCCCAGUAAGCGCGAGUCAUAAGCUCGCGUUGAUUACGUCCCUGCCCUUUGUACACACCGCCCGUCGCUCCUACCGAUUGAGUGGUCCGGUGAGGCUUUGGGAUCUGAGCAAAAAGAGCGUUUCGCUCGUUUGGCUCGGAAAACUCAGUCGAACCUUAUCAUUUAGAGGAAGGAGAAGUCGUAACA